UACGUAGGGUGCGAGCGUUAAUCGGAAUUACUGGGCGUAAAGAGCGUGUAGGCGGCCAAGCAGGUCCGUUGUGAAAACUGGAGGCUCAACCUUCAGAGGUCGACCGAAACCAUCUGGCUAGAGUCCGGGAGAGGAGAGUGGAAUUCCUGGUGUAGCGGUGAAAUGCGCAGAUAUCAGGAAGAACACCCGUGGCGAAAGCGGCUCUCUGGAACGGUACUGACGCUGAGACGCGAAAGCGUGGGGAGCGAACAGG
rnacentral:rRNA from 1 species